CAAUGAAGCGACGAUGCUGUUUAUAGCAAUCGUUGACAGAAUCCUGUCUCCUCAUCAACUUAGGCCCAGAUGACAGGCACUCUCGGACAGCUGAGCCCACCAGCAUGAAGCCGGGAUCGCAGUCAAACCUUGUGAAGGAUACAUCAAAGUCCAACUCUAUGGGCAGCAACCCAAAAGUUACUGGAGCAGCUUCAGAUGUGUUCUUCGUGGGCCAAAAACAGGGAAAAUGUGCCAGUGAGGUUUUGUACAGUUUUGUAAAGUGAAUUAAAA